GACGAACGCUGGCGGCGUGCUUAACACAUGCAAGUCGAACGGAGAUUUAGAGCAGCUUGCUGCUCGAAGAUCUUAGUGGCGGACGGGUGAGUAACGCGUGGGCAAUCUGCCCGUAAGAGGGGGACAACACUGUGAAAACGGUGCUAAUACCGCAUAACAUCACUUGGGUGCAUACCUGGGUGAUCAAAGGAGAAAUCCGCUUACGGAUGAGCCCGCGUCUGAUUAGCUAGUUGGUAGGGUAACGGCCUACCAAGGCGACGAUCAGUAGCCGGCCUGAGAGGGUGACCGGCCACACUGGAACUGAGACACGGUCCAGACUCCUACGGGUGGCAG
rnacentral:rRNA from 1 species